rnacentral:rRNA from 1 species
GUGGCGGACGGGUGAGUAAUGUCUGGGAAACUGCCUGAUGGAGGGGGAUAACUACUGGAAACGGUAGCUAAUACCGCAUAACGUCGCAAGACCAAAGAGGGGGACCUUCGGGCCUCUUGCCAUCGGAUGUGCCCAGAUGGGAUUAGCUAGUAGGUGGGGUAACGGCUCACCUAGGCGACGAUCCCUAGCUGGUCUGAGAGGAUGACCAGCCACACUGGAACUGAGACACGGUCCAGACUCCUACGGGAGGCAGCAGUGGGGAAUAUUGCACAAUGGGCGCAAGCCUGAUGCAGCCAUGCCGCGUGUAUGAAGAAGGCCUUCGGGUUGUAAAGUACUUUCAGCGGGGAGGAAGGGAGUAAAGUUAAUACCUUUACUCAUUGACGUUACCCGCAGAAGAAGCACCGGCUAACUCCGUGCCAGCAGCCGCGGUAAUACGGAGGGUGCAAGCGUUAAUCGGAAUUACUGGGCGUAAAGCGCACGCAGGCGGUUUGUUAAGUCAGAUGUGAA